rnacentral:rRNA from 1 species
UACGAAGGGAGCUAGCGUUGUUCGGAAUCACUGGGCGUAAAGCGCACGUAGGCGGAUUUGUCAGUCAGGGGUGAAAUCCCGGGGCUCAACCUCGGAACUGCCUUUGAUACAGCAAGUCUUGAGUUCGAGAGAGGUGGGCGGAAUUCCUAGUGUAGAGGUGAAAUUCGUAGAUAUUAGGAAGAACACCGGUGGCGAAGGCGGCCCACUGGUCCGGUACUGACGCUGAGGUGCGAAAGCGUGGGGAGCAAACAGG